rnacentral:rRNA from 1 species
AUGUUUGCAGCUGACCAUGUUGGCAAUAUAUUCUUCCCCUUCCAGGAGGACAAGUGUCGAGAUUUCGUUGUCAAAGGCCUCCUCUCGGAUGAUAAUGAUCUCGACAGAGCAUUUCGGGUAGUCGAGGCAGAACUAGGCUUCCUUUUUGAUUUCUUUUAUGCUCGGUACCCGUCGAUCAAAGACACCCUAGCUCCCGAUUUGAUUGUGUAUGCUGCGAUCCUUGCGACCAGCAUAUUUACUCUCUUCUGCCCGGACCUCGUCAAGCACCAGCCUCCAGGGGGCAGUGCUGCAAACAUCUUUAUCCAUAGCUUCAACCUUGAUCUUCUUGUCACUCGUUUGGUCAUCGUCUGGUACAUACUUCUUGAGUCGUAUCAGUUCCUUUCGCUGUUCAUCUUCUCCGACUGGCACAAGGUGAAGAUGUUGUGCCGGUACGUGCAGAACGAGUCAUGGCACAUGGCGCUCGCGGAGAUUCCACUCAAGGUCCUGUGCUAUUUCACCUUCUCAAAGUACUGGAAGGGAAGCAUCGGCCAGUACUUCAUCCUCGACAACGCCCACCCUCACCCAGUCAAGUCCUUCCUGUCAUGGAUAUCGCUCAAAUCCCUGGACUCAUCACUGAUGACCAAGUCCAUCAGCUUGCCACCGGAAGUGAGGCAAGCUGUCCUCCGCCGACUCAAGGACGUCGAGGGCAACAUCACCGAUGGAAGGAUGUGGCUGUAUGAGUUGGGGUUCGUCGACAAGGAAAUCCAUCUCGAUUGCAUGCAUGGCCACACGUAUGCCCGCUACAUCAUGGUAUGGCACGUAGUCACAAGCAUCUGCAGCUACGGCCUGCCGGCCCUGCCGAGCAAGGAGACUGCCAGCGAGGAGCUUGUGAAGAACUAUGCCGUCGCCACCAAGCUGUCCGGGUACUGUGCCUAUCUGCUGGGCUUCAAACCGGACCUGGUUCCCGACAACACUUACAAGAGCUUGUCGAUGGUCCGUGGCACGCAGCACAACGCCCGUAAGCACCUUGCCGAGUGCAAAUCCAACAAGGACAAGUACUAUAAAUUGUUGGAGUUAGGGAAGUUAAAUUCCACACAACACGAGGUCCGGUUCCUGUCUGAGGGAGCAAGGGUCGCUGUUUACUUCAUCGACAGGUUUCCGAACGUCGAGGAACAAUGGAGGGUGCUCGCGGUCUUCUGGGCGAACAUGAUGCUUUGGAUCGCCCCAUCAGACAGAGCAGAGGCACAUGCCACCAGGAUGGCAACCGGCGGGGAGUUUAUAACACUCAUAUGGGCUCUGCUGACACAUGCCCACGUAAUUGGCAGGCUUCAGCCGCCUGGUGGUGCCCCAGGAUUUCUAACUAGUGAAAAUCAGAAUGGAUAA